rnacentral:tRNA from 1 species
GGAGCGGUGUCCGAGUGGCUUAAGGAGCACGCCUGGAAAGCGUGUGGGGGGCAACUCCUCGUGGGUUCGAAUCCCACCUGCUCCGCCA